CAGUCGCCGCGGGAAUACGAAGGGGGCUAGCGUUGUUCGGAAUUACUGGGCGUAAAGCGCACGUAGGCGGAUAUUUAAGUCAGGGGUGAAAUCCCAGAGCUCAACUCUGGAACUGCCUUUGAUACUGGGUAUCUUGAGUAUGGAAGAGGUGAGUGGAAUUCCGAGUGUAGAGGUGAAAUUCGUAGAUAUUCGGAGGAACACCUGUGGCGAAAGCGGCUCACUGGACCAUAACUGACGCUGAUGCACGAAAGCUAGGGGAGCAAACAGGAUUAGAUACCCCCGUAGUCCCUGUCUCUUAUAC
rnacentral:rRNA from 1 species